rnacentral:rRNA from 1 species
CCAAUAGCGUAUAUUAAAGUUGUUGCAGUUAAAAAGCUCGUAGUUGAAUUUCGGGAUUGACGUGACGGUCAUGCCUUAAGGGGUAUGAACUGUUACUGUUGAUUUCUCACCUUCUGGAGAAACUUGAUGUCCUUUAUUGGGUGUCUUGCGGAUCCAGGACCUUUACCUUGAAAAAAUUAGAGUGUUUAAAGCAGGCAUUUUUGCUCGAAUACAUUAGCAU